ACCACCACGCCUGGCCUUGUAACAAUUUUUAAGCAUGUGGUUAUCUGGCAAGCUGAUCAUGACCCCAGCUAAGGAAACAGGGUUGCUCCUCACAUGGGGAUCUCUUGUUGAAAGCACAGGAACAUCC
rnacentral:snoRNA from 1 species